UGGCUUUGGUGAGUGACCUAAAGGUAUCUAUGGUCACGGUUUUGGGGGGUGACUUAAAAGAAUCUGUGGUCACGGUUUUCUGAAAAAGGGUGACCAUAGAGUAUCUAUAGUCACGGUUAUUGAGGGUGGGCUAAAGUAGCCUAUGGUCACGGUUUUUUUAAUUUUAUUUUUAAAGGUAUCCCCAAAACUGCUUCGUUUCUUCUCUUUAACUAAAAUCCCAUUUUUUCAUUUAUUUUUAUCAUCCCUCCCCAAAAACAAAACGUGCCCAUUUUCCCUCCCUCCCAAAAUCCCCAUUAGUCCCCGGUAACUUAGGGAAAAAAGAAAAAGAAGAAGAAAUCCCUAGCUAGCCAUCAAAACCCCUGUGUGUGGUGGUGCGCCGUUUCGUUCUUCUUCUACCUCCUUCGGAGCCCACCAUCGCUGACCUGAACUCUGUCUCUCUUCACUGCGUGAGCCGAGGGUCGUCGUUGCUUCUUUGCCUCCUCACGAGGCUUGUUGUUGCUUCCCUAUUUCGCAUCGUGUGUCGCCGUCACUGCUUCGCAUCGUGUCUCUGCCUCACCGCGAGCUCCCUGUCACCGUGAGCUAACCCUGUGUACUCUUUUCAAGUUCAGCAGAAGCAAUAGGGUUUGGGUUCUCGUCUAAAUAUUUUCAAGCUCAGCAAUAGGGUUUUAAUACCUUUGAUGCUAUUAAGUGCGUGGAGAAAGUUUGGAGGAAGCUGCAUGUGACAAUAUAUCCACUUGAAGUGGGAGAAGUUAUAUAUCACAGCUCUCAGCCACGGCCUGGAAAAUAGUUCUACACUUUGUAAUAAGGGUGGAGAUGGAUUUGAAGUGGGGAAGAGAAAGGUGAAGACCAAGUUGACAGCAAGCGCUAAAUUUUUAGCUGCACAGAACAGGUGCAAGUAAUGAUAGAAGGCGCCCAACAAUCUCCGCCUGAUACGAGUAGUGCACCAAAUGAUGCGCGGCGAAGCAUUCCUCCUUCACCUGGAUCGAACCAUGUAUCAAAGGAUUUCGAACAGGAAGACAUGAUGUGAAGAAAAUAUGUUCCAUACAAAUAUGACAUGGGAUGGGUCUUACACUUUAGUUAUCUAAAUGUAAUUUUU